rnacentral:tRNA from 1 species
GGGCCCAUAGCUCAACGGGUUAGAGCGCCUGGCUUAUAACCGGGAGGUUCCGGGUUCGGGUCCCGGUGGGCCUA